rnacentral:rRNA from 1 species
UUAAGCGACUAAGCGUACACGGUGGAUGCCCUGGCAGUCAGAGGCGAUGAAGGACGUGCUAAUCUGCGAUAAGCGUCGGUGAGGUGAUAUGAACCGUUAUAACCGGCGAUUUCCGAAUGGGGAAACCCAGUGUGUUUCGACACACUAUCAUUAACUGAAUCCAUAGGUUAAUGAGGCGAACCGGGGGAACUGAAACAUCUAAGUACCCCGAGGAAAAGAAAUCAACCGAGAUUCCCCCAGUAGCGGCGAGCGAACGGGGAGGAGCCCAGAGCCUGAAUCAGUGUGUGUGUUAGUGGAAGCGUCUGGAAAGGCGCGCGAUACAGGGUGACAGCCCCGUACACAAAAAUGCACAUGCUGUGAGCUCGAUGAGUAGGGCGGGACACGUGGUAUCCUGUCUGAAUAUGGGGGGACCAUCCUCCAAGGCUAAAUACUCCUGACUGACCGAUAGUGAACCAGUACCGUGAGGGAAAGGCGAAAAGAACCCCGGCGAGGGGAGUGAAAAAGAACCUGAAACCGUGUACGUACAAGCAGUGGGAGCCUCUUUAUGGGGUGACUGCGUACCUUUUGUAUAAUGGGUCAGCGACUUAUAUUCUGUAGCAAGGUUAACCGAAUAGGGGAGCCGAAGGGAAACCGAGUCUUAACUGGGCGUUAAGUUGCAGGGUAUAGACCCGAAACCCGGUGAUCUAGCCAUGGGCAGGUUGAAGGUUGGGUAACACUAACUGGAGGACCGAACCGACUAAUGUUGAAAAAUUAGCGGAUGACUUGUGGCUGGGGGUGAAAGGCCAAUCAAACCGGGAGAUAGCUGGUUCUCCCCGAAAGCUAUUUAGGUAGCGCCUCGUGAAUUCAUCUCCGGGGGUAGAGCACUGUUUCGGCAAGGGGGUCAUCCCGACUUACCAACCCGAUGCAAACUGCGAAUACCGGAGAAUGUUAUCACGGGAGACACACGGCGGGUGCUAACGUCCGUCGUGAAGAGGGAAACAACCCAGACCGCCAGCUAAGGUCCCAAAGUCAUGGUUAAGUGGGAAACGAUGUGGGAAGGCCCAGACAGCCAGGAUGUUGGCUUAGAAGCAGCCAUCAUUUAAAGAAAGCGUAAUAGCUCACUGGUCGAGUCGGCCUGCGCGGAAGAUGUAACGGGGCUAAACCAUGCACCGAAGCUGCGGCAGCGACGCUUAUGCGUUGUUGGGUAGGGGAGCGUUCUGUAAGCCUGUGAAGGUGGCCUGUGAGGGUUGCUGGAGGUAUCAGAAGUGCGAAUGCUGACAUAAGUAACGAUAAAGCGGGUGAAAAGCCCGCUCGCCGGAAGACCAAGGGUUCCUGUCCAACGUUAAUCGGGGCAGGGUGAGUCGACCCCUAAGGCGAGGCCGAAAGGCGUAGUCGAUGGGAAACAGGUUAAUAUUCCUGUACUUGGUGUUACUGCGAAGGGGGGACGGAGAAGGCUAUGUUGGCCGGGCGACGGUUGUCCCGGUUUAAGCGUGUAGGCUGGUUUUCCAGGCAAAUCCGGAAAAUCAAGGCUGAGGCGUGAUGACGAGGCACUACGGUGCUGAAGCGACAAAUGCCCUGCUUCCAGGAAAAGCCUCUAAGCAUCAGGUAACAUCAAAUCGUACCCCAAACCGACACAGGUGGUCAGGUAGAGAAUACCAAGGCGCUUGAGAGAACUCGGGUGAAGGAACUAGGCAAAAUGGUGCCGUAACUUCGGGAGAAGGCACGCUGAUAUGUAGGUGAAGUCCCUCGCGGAUGGAGCUGAAAUCAGUCGAAGAUACCAGCUGGCUGCAACUGUUUAUUAAAAACACAGCACUGUGCAAACACGAAAGUGGACGUAUACGGUGUGACGCCUGCCCGGUGCCGGAAGGUUAAUUGAUGGGGUUAGCGGCAACGCGAAGCUCUUGAUCGAAGCCCCGGUAAACGGCGGCCGUAACUAUAACGGUCCUAAGGUAGCGAAAUUCCUUGUCGGGUAAGUUCCGACCUGCACGAAUGGCGUAAUGAUGGCCAGGCUGUCUCCACCCGAGACUCAGUGAAAUUGAACUCGCUGUGAAGAUGCAGUGUACCCGCGGCAAGACGGAAAGACCCCGUGAACCUUUACUAUAGCUUGACACUGAACAUUGAGCCUUGAUGUGUAGGAUAGGUGGGAGGCUUUGAAGUGUGGACGCCAGUCUGCAUGGAGCCGACCUUGAAAUACCACCCUUUAAUGUUUGAUGUUCUAACGUUGGCCCGUAAUCCGGGUUGCGGACAGUGUCUGGUGGGUAGUUUGACUGGGGCGGUCUCCUCCUAAAGAGUAACGGAGGAGCACGAAGGUUGGCUAAUCCUGGUCGGACAUCAGGAGGUUAGUGCAAUGGCAUAAGCCAGCUUGACUGCGAGCGUGACGGCGCGAGCAGGUGCGAAAGCAGGUCAUAGUGAUCCGGUGGUUCUGAAUGGAAGGGCCAUCGCUCAACGGAUAAAAGGUACUCCGGGGAUAACAGGCUGAUACCGCCCAAGAGUUCAUAUCGACGGCGGUGUUUGGCACCUCGAUGUCGGCUCAUCACAUCCUGGGGCUGAAGUAGGUCCCAAGGGUAUGGCUGUUCGCCAUUUAAAGUGGUACGCGAGCUGGGUUUAGAACGUCGUGAGACAGUUCGGUCCCUAUCUGCCGUGGGCGCUGGAGAACUGAGGGGGGCUGCUCCUAGUACGAGAGGACCGGAGUGGACGCAUCACUGGUGUUCGGGUUGUCAUGCCAAUGGCACUGCCCGGUAGCUAAAUGCGGAAGAGAUAAGUGCUGAAAGCAUCUAAGCACGAAACUUGCCCCGAGAUGAGUUCUCCCUGACUCCUUGAGACUCCUGAAGGAACGUUGAAGACGACGACGUUGAUAGGCCGGGUGUGUAAGCGCAGCGAUGCGUUGAGCUAACCGGUACUAAUGAACCGUGAGGCUUAACCUU